ACACUUACCUGGCGAGGAGAUACUAUGACCACAAAGGUGAUUUUCCCCAGGUGAGGCUUAUCCAUUACACUCCGGGUGUGCUGACCCCUGAGAUUUCCCCAAAUGUGGGCCACUCGACUGCACGAUUAGUGGUAGUGGGGGACUGUGUUCAUGUUCUCCCCUA